GCAGCCCAAGCCAUAGCAGAAGAAAGAAGAAGCCAAAGUGGUGUCAGCCCUGUUGCCGUCCAGACCUCAAUAAACAUAAAGACAGCAACGAAACCAGUGAUAGAUGGUUCCAUUCUAAGAACAGAAGAAAGACAAAGACUAGCGAGGGAGCGCAGAGAAGAACGGGAAAAGCAAAAUGCUGCCAAAGAGACACAGAUCCUUGAAAAGGAAAGAAAGGCAAAACUUCAAUAUGAAAAACAGCUGGAAGAAAGGCAGAGAAAGCUAAAAGAA